rnacentral:lncRNA from 1 species
GUACGGACCUCGCUGUGUGCACGGGGGGCAUGGUCAUGCUGAAGUAGUGACUGGUGUUGGCUAAUAUGAAUUGAAGUAUCUGAGAGAGACAUGUGAGUGUUGAGCUGCUUCUGAGCGCGGCAGCCGGGAGAAGGGAAUUAUUAUUAUAUUCAGGCACAACGGCUACUUUGGCCGCAAAAGGCAUAUAUUUUUUUAGGGGAAACUACGGCCACACAAGGGGGAUACCGCUGGGAAAUUCGAGGCUAUUAUCAAGUGCUAGUCAAAUUGUGAAUGAGAGACUGAUGAAGUGUGUGCAGCUUGAACAAGAACCGAAUCAGAGCCUUUCAAAUCCAAAUAAAAUGUGAUUGGUGUCACACACACAUUUAACAGAUGUGAUUGGUCACACACACACACACAUUUAGCAGAUGUGAUUGGUCACACACACACACACACACACACACACACACACACACGCGCACAUUUAGCAGUUGUGAUUGGUCACAUACACACAUUUAACAGAUGUGAUUGGUCACACACACACACAUUUAACAGAUGUGAUUGCGUGUGUAGGGAAACUCAAGUGUUCCGAGCUCCCACAGUAAUAUCUAGCAAUUCACAACCAUACACGCAUCUAAAAGAAUGGAAUUAAGAAAUGCAUAUGAAUAUUAGGACGAGCAAUGUCAGUCCUGAGAGAGAGUGUGGGUGAGUGCAGUGCAUUCGAGAUGUAUUAAGACCCCUUGACUGUGUCCACGUUUUGUUACAGCCUUAUUCUAAAAUGGAUUAAACUUUUCCCCCCCUUAUCUACACACAAUACCCCAUAAUGACAAAACAAAAACAGAUUUUUAGACAUAUUUUGCAAAUGUAUUAAAAAUAAAUAAACGAAAUCACAUUUACAUAAGUAUUCAGACCCUUUGCUAUGAGACUGUAAAUUGAGCUCAGGUGCAUCCUGUUUCCAUUGAUCAUCCUUUGAGAUGUUUCUACAACUUGAUUGGAGUCCACCUGUGGUAAAUUCAAUUGAUUGGACAUGAUUUGGAAAGGCACACA